UACGGGAGGCAGCAGUGAGGAAUAUUGGUCAAUGGACGAGAGUCUGAACCAGCCAAGUAGCGUGCAGGAUGACGGCCCUAUGGGUUGUAAACUGCUUUUAUAAGGGAAUAAAGUGAGUCUCGUGAGACUUUUUGCAUGUACCUUAUGAAUAAGGACCGGCUAAUUCCGUGCCAGCAGCCGCGGUAAUACGGAAGGUCCGGGCGUUAUCCGGAUUUAUUGGGUUUAAAGGGAGCGUAGGCCGGAGAUUAAGCGUGUUGUGAAAUGUAGACGCUCAACGUCUGCACUGCAGCGCGAACUGGUUUCCUUGAGUACGCACAAAGUGGGCGGAAUUCGUGGUGUAGCGGUGAAAUGCUUAGAUAUCACGAAGAACUCCGAUUGCGAAGGCAGCUCACUGGAGCGCAACUGACGCUGAAGCUCGAAAGUGCGGGUAUCGAACAGGAUUAGAUACCCUGGUAGUCCGCACGGUAAACGAUGGAUGCCCGCUGUUGGUCUGAAUAGGUCAGCGGCCAAGCGAAAGCAUUAAGCAUCCCACCUGGGGAGUACGCCGGCAACGGUGCAACUCAAAGGAAUUGACGG
rnacentral:rRNA from 1 species